rnacentral:rRNA from 1 species
GAUGAACGCUAGCGGCAGGCUUAACACAUGCAAGUCGAGGGGUAACAGGGUGCUUGCACCGCUGACGACCGGCGCACGGGUGCGUAACGCGUAUAGAACCUACCUUUUACAGGAGAAUACCCCAGAGAAAUUUGGAAUAAUGCUCCAUAGUAUUAUUGAACGGCAUCGUUUAAUAAUUAAACAUUUAUGGGUAAAAGAUGGCUAUGCGUUCUAUUAGCUAGAUGGUAAGGUAACGGCUUACCAUGGCAACGAUAGAUAGGGGUCCUGAGAGGGAGAUCCCCCACACUGGUACUGAGACAGGGACCAGACUCCUACGGGAGGCAGCAGUGAGGAAUAUUGGACAAUGGAGGCAACUCUGAUCCAGCCAUGCCGCGUGCAGGAAGACGGUCCUAUGGAUUGUAAACUGCUUUUAUACAGGAAGAAACACUCCCUCGUGAGGGAGCUUGACGGUACUGUAUGAAUAAGCACCGGCUAACUCCGUGCCAGCAGCCGCGGUAAUACGGAGGGUGCAAGCGUUAUCCGGAAUCAUUGGGUUUAAAGGGUCCGUAGGCGGGCUAAUAAGUCAGGGGUGAAAUCCAACAGCUUAACUGUUGAACUGCCUUUGAUACUGUUAGUCUUGAAUUAUAUGGAAGUAGAUAGAAUGUGUAGUGUAGCGGUGAAAUGCUUAGAGAUUACACAGAAUACCGAUUGCGAAGGCAGUCUACUACGU